rnacentral:rRNA from 1 species
AACGAACGCUGGCGGCAGGCCUAAUACAUGCAAGUCGAACGCUCCAGCAAUGGAGAGUGGCAGACGGGUGAGUAACGCGUGGGAACCUUCCCAGUGGUACGGAAUAGCUCAGGGAAACUUGAGGUAAUACCGUAUACGCCCUUUGGGGGAAAGAUUUAUCGCCAUUGGAUGGGCCCGCGUCGGAUUAGCUAGUUGGUGGGGUAAUGGCCUACCAAGGCGACGAUCCGUAGCUGGUCUGAGAGGAUGAUCAGCCACACUGGGACUGAGACACGGCCCAGACUCCUACGGGAGACAGCAGUAGGGAAUAUUGGACAAUGGGCGAAAGCCUGAUCCAGCCAUGCCGCGUGAGUGACGAAGGCCUUCGGGUUGUAAAGCUCUUUUGGCGGGGACGAUAAUGACGGUACCCGCAGAAUAAGCUCCGGCUAACUUCGUGCCAGCCGCCGCGGUAACAC